GCCAGGUGUGGUGGUGCAUGCCUAUAAUCCCAGCAGCUCUGGAGGCUGAGGCAGGAGGAUUGCAAGUUCAAAGGCAGCCUAAGCAAAUUAGCAAGACUCUAGCAAUUUAGCAAGACCCUAUUUCAA
rnacentral:sRNA from 1 species